CCAGACUCCUACGGGAGGCAGCAGUAGGGAAUCUUCGGCAAUGGACGGAAGUCUGACCGAGCAACGCCGCGUGAGUGAAGAAGGUUUUCGGAUCGUAAAGCUCUGUUGUAAGAGAAGAACGAGUGUGAGAGUGGAAAGUUCACACUGUGACGGUAUCUUACCAGAAAGGGACGGCUAACUACGUGCCAGCAGCCGCGGUAAUACGUAGGUCCCGAGCGUUGUCCGGAUUUAUUGGGCGUAAAGCGAGCGCAGGCGGUUAGAUAAGUCUGAAGUUAAAGGCUGCGGCUUAACCAUAGUACGCUUUGGAAACUGUUUAACUUGAGUGCAAGAGGGGAGAGUGGAAUUCCAUGUGUAGCGGUGAAAUGCGUAGAUAUAUGGAGGAACACCGGUGGCGAAAGCGGCUCUCUGGCUUGUAACUGACGCUGAGGCUCGAAAGCGUGGGGAGCAAACAGGAUUAGAUACCCUGGUAGUCCACGCCGUAAACGAUGAGUGCUAGGUGUUAGACCCUUUCCGGGGUUUAGUGCCGUAGCUAACGCAUUAAGCACUCCGCCUGGGGAGUACGACCGCAAGGUUGAAACUCAAAGGAAUUGACGGGGGCCCGCACAAG
rnacentral:rRNA from 1 species